UACGUAGGGGGCUAGCGUUGUCCGGAAUCAUUGGGCGUAAAGAGCGUGUAGGCGGCCCGGUAAGUCCGCUGUGAAAGUCGGGGGCUCAACCCUCGGAUGCCGGUGGAUACUGUCGGGCUCGAGUACGGAAGAGGCGAGUGGAAUUCCUGGUGUAGUGGUGAAAUGCGCAGAUAUCAGGAGGAACACCUAUUGCGAAGGCAGCUCGCUGGGAUGUUACUGACGUUGAGACGCGAAAGCGUGGGGAGCAAACAGG
rnacentral:rRNA from 1 species